GAGGAAGCUUAGGAACUGGUGGAAAGGGUUUCUUGAAGGGGAAUGGUGGUUUUGGGAAAAAUGGGAAAGGUGGAAGUGGCUUCUGGUACACGGGAGGCUUGUAGAUUGGCACCGCCGGUGGGAGUGGCUUCUGGUACACCGGAGGCUUGUAGAUUGGCACCGGCGGUGGAAGUGGCUUCUGGUACACGGGAGGCUUGUAGAUUGGCACCGGCGGUGGGAGUGGCUUCUGGUACACGGGAGGCUUGUAGAUUGGCACCGGAGGCUUGUAGAUUGGCACCGGCGGUGGGAGUGGCUUCUGGUACACAGGAGGCUUGUAGAUUGGCACCGGCGGUGGGAGUGGCUUCUGGUACACAGGAGGCUUGUAGAUUGGCACUGGCGGUGGGAGUGGCUUCUGGUACACAGGAGGCUUGUAGAUUGGCACGGGCGGUGGACAUGGCUUUUUGACUACUGGAGGCUUGUAGAUUGGCACUGGCGGUGGAAGUGGCUUCUUGUACACCGGAGGCUUGUAGAUUGGCACGGGGGGUGGAAGAGGUUUUAUGAUUGGAGGAGGCUUGAUUAUGGGAACAGGCGGAGGAAGUGGUUUUUUGUAGAUUGGGAUUGGUGGUGGAAGUGGCUUCUUGUAAAUAGGGAUUGGUGGGAGUGGUUUCUUGUAGAUUGGGGGGAAAG
rnacentral:lncRNA from 1 species